CGGGCCUCAGCGGCGGCUACAGCCACUUCCCUCCUGAGGAGCGCUCCGGGAGUCCGCGGCAGCCGUGUGUUAUUAAGAGAGAAAAGAUACCUCAGUUCCCUUGAAGCAGCUCAGCUGUACCCUCGCUGUCCAGCAGAAGUCCUGGGCUAAGAGCAGUUUCCUGGAAGGUCUGUGCCUGAAAGCAGCAGAGAGGAACUGAGCUCAGCAGAGCAAUACCUCACAGAGCUACGCUCAAGAGGAAGCCAUAGAGGCAAAGCAAUGGUUAGAGACUCUGCUGGGAGCAAGCAGCCUCUGACUGCUUAAGGACCUGUUGGCCUCCUGUCUGGUGCUUCCAUGGAGACAGACAGCCCUGGGUUGAACACCAUGAAGCCCCAGUCACUACAGCUGGUGCUGGAGGAGCAAGUGCUGGCCCUGCAGCAGCAGAUGGCAGAGAAUCAGGCAGCCUCUUGGCGGCAGCUGAAGAGCUCCCAGGAGGCCCAGCAGAGGCAAGCGACCCUUGUGAGGAAGCUGCAGGCCAAGGCCCUGCUUUGUUUGCCUCAGGUGUUACAGUACCGGAGCUGGUGCCAAGAGCUGGAGAAGCGGCUGGAAGCCACUGGAGGACCAAUCCCUCAGAGGUGGGAGAGUGUGGAGGAGCCAAACCUGGAACAGCUGCUAAUCCGGCUGGAGGAGGAGCAACAGAGGUGUGAGAAUCUAGCAGAGGUGAACACCCAGCUUCAACUGCACAUGGAAAAAGCUGAUGUGGUGAAUAAAGCCCUUCGGGAAGAUGUGGAAAAGUUGACAGUGGACUGGAGCCGGGCCCGGGAUGAGCUAAUGAGGAAGGAGAGCCAGUGGCAGAUGGAGCAGGAGUUCUUCAAGGGCUACCUGAAAGGAGAGCACAGUCGCCUUCUUGGUCUUUGGCGGGAGGUGGUGACCUUCCGACGCCACUUCCUGGAAAUGAAGUCAGCUACUGACAGAGAUCUGAUGGAGCUAAAGGCAGAGCAUGUGAGGCUCUCAGGGUCUCUGUUGACCUGUUGUCUGCGCUUGACUGUGGGAGCACAGUCUCGGGAAGCCAGUGGAUCUGGAAGAACGGAUGGGAGCGAGCCAGCCCAGCUGCUGCUCCUACUGGCCAAGACCCAGGAGCUGGAGAAGGAAGCACAUGAGAGGAGCCAGGAGUUAAUACAGCUGAAGAGCCAAGCGGACCUGGAGAAAGCUGAGCUUCAGGAUCGGGUGACUGAGCUCUCUGCUUUGCUGACCCAGUCUCAGAAGGAAAAUGAAGAUUAUGAGAAGAUGGUAAAGGCUCUGAGAGAGACAAUGGAGAUUCUGGAGACAAACCAUGCAGAAUUAGUGGAACAUGAGGCAUCUCUUAGUAAGAAUGCCCAAGAAGAGAAGUUGUCCUUACAGCAGGUGAUCAAGGACAUAACCCAGGUACUGGCCAUGGUGGAAGAAGGGGACAGUGUGGUGCAAGGCUGUGGUCAUGAGAGCUCCUCAAGCUUGGACUUGAAUGGCUUCUCCCAGUUUGACUCCCAGGACCCAGACAAGGCUCUCGUUUUUGUGCGCUCAGUGCUGACUCGAAGACGCCAGGCCAUGCAGGACCUAAGGCAGCAGCUUUCAGGCUGCCAGGAGGCCAUGGGCAUCUUGCAGCAGCAGCAUGAUCAGUGGGAAGAAGAGGGCAGAGGCCUGAGACAGCGACUGCAGAAGCUCACGGAGGAACGGGACACUCUGGAAGGGCAGACUGUGGGCCUCCAGGGAGAGGUGGACUCUCUGAGCAAGGAGCGAGAGCUUCUGCAGAAGGCCAGGGAAGAGCUGCAGCAGCAGCUGGAGGUGCUGGAGCAGGAGGCCUGGCGACUGCGAAGGGCAAAUGUGGAGCUUCAGCUGCAAGGGGACUCUGCCCAGGGUGAGAAGGAGGAGCAGCAGGAGGAGCUGCACCUGGCUGCCCGGGAAAGGGAGCGUCUUCAGGAGACACUGGUGGUCCUGGAAGCCAAGCAGUCACAGUCACUCACAGAAGUGAUCACUCUUCGGGAAGCCCUGGAGUCAAGUCGUCUGGAAGGGGAAUUACUGAGGCAAGAGCAAGCAGAAGUGACCGCAGCACUGUCUAGGGCAGAACAGUCGAUUGCAGAGCUGUCAAGUUCUGAGAACAGCCUGAAGGCAGAGGUAGCUGAUCUUCGGGCUGCAGCUGUCAAGCUCGGUGCCUUAAAUGAGGCUUUGGCCUUAGACAAACUUGGGCUGAACCAGCAGCUUCUCCAGUUAGAGCAGGAGAACCAGUCUGUGUGCAGCAGAGUGGAGUCAGCAGAGCAGGCGAGGAACACUUUGCAGGUGGACCUGGCGGAGGCCGAGAGGAGCAGGGAAGCCCUGUGGGAAAAGAAAACUCAUCUGGAGGCUCAGCUGCAUGAAGCAGAGGAGGCCAGGGCUGAGCUGCAGGCCAAUCUCAGGGGCAUCCGAGAAGAGAAGGAAGAAAUUCAAGAGAAAUUAAAUGAGGCACAUCACCAGCAGGAAGCAGCUGCAGCUCAGCUGGAGCUGCUACAUCAGGAGGCGAAGCGACAGGAAGAAGUGCUUGCCAGAACAGUGCAGGAGAAGGAGGCCCUAGUGCGAGCCAGGGCAUCUCUAGAGGUACGGCUGCAGGCUGUGGAGCGGGACCGCCAGGACCUCACCGAACAGCUGCUGGGACUCAGCUCUGCCAAGGAACAGCUGGAGAGCAGUUUGUUUGAGGCCCAACAACAAAAUUCUGUGAUAGAGGUCACCAAGGGGCAGCUGGAGGUCCAGAUUCAAACUGUCACUCAAGCCAAGGAAGUUAUCCAAGGAGAAGUGAGGUGUCUGAAGAUGGAGCUGGACACUGAGCGGAGCCAGGCAGAGCAGGAGCGGAGUACAGCAGCCAGGAGGCUGGCCCAAGCUGAGCAGGAGGGGAAAACUGCCCUGGAGCAGCAGCAGGUGGCCCACGAGGAGGAGGUGCGCCGGCUCCAGGAGAACUGGGAGAAGGAGCGUUCCCGGCACCAGCAGGAGCUGGCUAAGGUUCUGGAGAGCCUGGAGAGGGAAAAGCUGGAGCUGGAAAUGAGAAUGAGGGAACUGCAGACAGAAACUGAGGCCCUCCGGGCACAACGGGAAGAGGAACGGACGCAGGCAGAGAGCGCCCUGUGCCAGCAAGCCCUUGCCCUCCCCACCCCUCCACAGAUGCAGCUGGAAACGGAGAAGGAGAGAGUGUCCCUCCUGGAGACCCUGCUGCAGACCCAGAAGGAGCUGGCAGAUGCCAGCCAACAGCUGGAACGACUGCGACAGGACAUGAAGGUUCAGAAGUUAAGGGAGCAGGAGACCACUGAGCUGCUGCAGACCCAGCUGCGGGAGGCCCAGCAGGAGCUGAAGGAGGCCACCCAGCAGCACAGAGACGACCUCGCCGUCGUCCGAGAAGAGGGCUGCAGUCUGCUGCAGGAUAAGAGAGACCUGCAGCAGCAGGUGGAGGACUUGAAGUCUCAGCUGGCUACCCAGGAUGACUCCCAGAGGCUGUUGGAGCAGGCAGUUCAGGAGAAGUUGAGAGAGGCCCAGGAGUGUAGCCAGAUUCAGAAGGAGCUGGAGAGAGAGAAAGCCAGCCUGACUCUGUCGCUGGUGGAAAAGGAACAGAGACUCCUUGAUUUAGAAGAAGCUGAUUCUGUUCGACAGCAAGAGCUGAGCUCCCUGCGGCAGGACGUGCAGGAGGCCCAGGAAGGGCAGAAAGAGCUCAGUGCCCAGGUGGAGCUACUGAGGCAGGAGGUGAAGGAAAAGGAGGCUGAUUUUCUGGCCCAGGAAGCACAGCUGCUGGAGGAGCUGGAGGCGUCUCAGGUCACAGAGAAGCAGCUGAGAGCUUCCCUGUGGGCCCAGGAAGCCAAGGCAGCCCAACUGCAGCUGCAGCUGUGCAGCACGGAGAGCCAGCUGGAGGCACUGGCCGCGGAGCAGCAGCCUGGGAGCCGUGCUCAGGCCCAGCUUGCCAAGCUCUACUGUGUUCUGCAGCAGGCCCUAGGGUCUGUCUGUGAGAGCAGGCCUGAGCUGGGGGGUGGGGGAGACUCUGCUCCCUCCAUCUGGGGCCCUGAACCAGACCAGAAUGGUGCCAGGAGUCUCUUUAAGAGAGGGCCCCUCCUGACUGCCCUCUCAGCUGAGGCGGUGGCCUCUGCCCUCCACAAGCUUCACCAAGACCUGUGGAAGAGUCAGCAGGCCCGGGAUGAUCUGAGGGAUCAGGUCCGGAAGCUGGAACAGCAUCUGACCAAAGCUGAGGCUGACAAGAGCCUGCUCCACGCAGAGCUGCAGGACCUGCAGCAACAGCUGUCCCAGAACCUGGAAGAAAAAUCCAAGUGGGAAGGAAAACAGAACUCCAUGGAAUCUGAGCUGAAGGAACUGCACGAAACUGUGACUUCCUUACAGGGUCACCUAAGGCAAGCAGAACUGCAGAGAAUGGAAGCCCAGGGUGAGCGAGAGUUACUUCAGGUAGCCAAGGAGAACCUGACAGCCCACGUGGAACAGCUGAAGGCAUCUGUGGCAGAAGCCAGGGCUCAGGCGAGCGCUGCUGGCAUCCUGGAAGAACACCUGAGGACGGUGCGCUCGGCGCUGAAGCGGAAAAAUGAGGAGGUGGAGAGUGAGCGUGAGAGAGCCCAGGCUCUUCAGGAGCAGGGUGAGCUGAAGGUGGCCCAAGGCAAGGCCCUGCAGGAGAACUUGGCUCUGCUGACCCAGACUCUAUCUGAGAAAGAAGGACAGGUGGAGACUUUGCAAGGAGAAAUCCUGGAACUGGAGAAGCAACGGGAAAUGCAGAAGGCCGCCUUAGAGCUGCUGUCCCUGGACCUGAAGAAGAGGAACCAAGAGGUGGAUCUGCAACAAGAACAGAUUCAGGAGCUGGAGCAGUGUAGGUCUGUUUUGGAGCAUCUGCCCAUGGCGGUUCAGGAGCGAGAGCAGCAGCUGGCUGUGCAGAGGGAGCAGAUCAGAGAGCUCGAGAAGGAUCGGGAGACCCAGAGGAGCCUCUUGGAGCAUCAGCUUCUGGACCUGGAGAAGAAGGCCCAGGUGAUUGAGUCCCAGCGAGGGCAGAUUCAGGAUCUGAAAAAGCAGCUGGUCACUCUGGAGUGCCUGGCCCUGGAACUGGAAGAAAGCCACCACAAAGUGGAGUGCCAGCAAAAGGUGAUCGAGGAGCUGGAGGGCCAGAGGGAAAUGCAGAGGGUGGCCCUGACCCACCUCACGCUGGACUUGGAGGAAAGGAGCCAGGAGCUGCAGGCACAAAGCAGCCAGAUCCAUGAGCUGGAGAGCCACAGCACCCUUCUGGCAAGAGAGCUGCAGGAGAGGGAGCAGGACGUGAAGUCCCAGCACGAGCAGGUCAAGGAGCUGCAGAGGCAGAAUGAGCAUCUGGCUCAGGACCUUGAGAGGAGGGAACAGGAGCUGGUGCUGCAGAAGGAGAGGAUUCAGGUUCUCGAAGAUCAGAGGACACUGCAGACCAAGAUCUUGGAGGAGGACCUGGAACAGAUCAAGCUGUCCCUGAGAGAGCGAGGCCGGGAGCUGGCCCCUCAGAGGCACCUGGCGGAGGAGGGCAAGGGCCAGGGGAAAGCACAGCGUGGCAGCCUUGAGCACCUGAAGCUGAUCCUGCGUGAUAAGGAGAAGGAAGUCGAGUGCCAGCAGGAGCAGAUCCAGGAUCUGCAGGAGCACAGGGGCCAGCUGGAGCAGCAGCUGCAGGGCCUGCACAGGAAGGUGGCCGAGAGCAGCCUGCUCCUGACCCAGCGAGAGCAGGAGAUACUGGUCUUGCAGCGGCACCUACAGGAAGCCAGGGAGCAGCGGGAGCUGAAAGAGCAGUCGCUCCAGAGUCAGCUGGAAGAGGCCCAGAGAGCUGUGACCCAGAGGGACCAGGAGCUGGAGGCCCUGCAGCGUGAGCGGCGGCAGGCUCAGGGCCAGGAGGAGAGUGUGAAGGAGAAGGCCAGCGACCUCCAGGGGGCUCUGGAGCAGGCCCAUAUAGCUCUGCAGGAGCGCCAGGGAGAGCUGGAGGAACACAAGGAGCAGGUGCGGCGGCUCCAGGAAGAGCUGGCAGCGGAGGGCCGGCGGGGGCAGGCCCUGGAGGAGGUGUUGGGAGACCUGAGGGUGGAGGCUCGGGAGCAGGAGAAGGCUCUGCUGACCCUCCAGCAGCAGUGUGCCGAGCGCACACAGGAGCACGACGCACAGGCCAGGGCCCUGCAAGACAAGUGGCUAGAAGCAGAGGCAAUGCUUAAGGAACGGGACCAGGAGCUGGAAGCUCUGCGGACAGAAAACCAGUUCUCCCGGCAUCAGGAGGAGGCUGCCUGGGGCCAGGUCGAAGCACUGCAGGAGGCCCUCAGCAGGGCCCAGGCUGUGCUGCAGGAAAAAGAGCGGCAUCUCCUGGAGCAGACAGAAUUGAGUCACAGUCUAGAGGCCAGCACCGCCACCUUGCAGGCCACCCUGAACACCUGCCAGACACACGCCCGGCAGCUGGAGGAGGCCCUGAGGACACGUGAAGGUGAGAUCCAGGACCAGGGCCUGCGACAUCGGGAGGACAUACAACGGCUCCAGCAGGCCCUUGCCCAGAGGGACGAAGAGCUGAGGCUUCAGAAGGAGCAAGGGCAGCUGCUGGAGAAGCUUCUAGCCCAGAGGGACCAAGAGGGGCAGAAUCUGGGGAAGGAAAGAGAAGAGGAAGAGAGGAUUGGCCUCCGUGAGAGUCUAAGGGAGCUGCAGUUGACUCUAGCCCAGAAGGAAGAGGAACUCCGGGAGCUGAGGGAGGCCCAGCAAAGGAAGAAUCCCGAGGCCUUACCCCAGAGCCACAAAGCUUCCUCAGUGCAGGAACCAGCUCUGAACUCUGAAUCUUUCAGGCCCAAACUGCAGCGAGACCUAGAACGCCUACAGGUAGCCUUGAGGCAGACAGAGGCCAGGGAGAUUGAGUGGAGGGAGAAGGCCCAGGACUUGGCGCUAUCCCUGGCCCAGAGCAAGGCCAGUGUCAACAGUCUGCAGGAGGUAGCCUUGUUCCUACAAGCCUCCGUCCUGGAGCGGGAAUCAGAGCAGCAGAGACUACUGGAGGAGCUGGAACUUACCAGACAGACUCUGGAGAAGGAGCGGCUGCACAGCCCAGGCUCAACCCUCAGAGCAGAGCGGGGACCCAGGGAAGAGCAGGGUGGACAGCCUGGAGAGGACUCAAGAGCAGAGACAGAGUGUGGUGCUGGAGUGGAGGAGAAGGAGCUGUGGAAACAAAGGCUUGAGCACCUGCAGCAGGCCGUGGCUCAGCUGGAAAUUGACCGGGGCAGGCUACAGCGCCACAACAUGCAGCUGCGAACCACCUUGGAGCAGGUGGAGCGUGAGCGGAGAAAGCUGAAGAAGGAGUCCAUGCGCCUGUCCCGGGCAGGGGCCCAGGAGCUCAGCCAAAGCCUGGAUUCAUCACCCACACAGCAGGAUGGACGAGGGGAACAGAAGGGCUCCGCACAGGCCAAGCACGUGGUUGAACUGCAGAAAGAGGUAGCCCUGCUGCGAGCCCAGCUGGCCUUGGAGCGGAAGCAGAAGCAGGACUACAUCGCACGCUCAGUGCAGACCAGCCGUGAACUCGCAGACCUGCACCACAGCCUCUCCCACUCUCUCCUUGCAGUGGCCCAAGCCCCUGAGGCCACUGUCCUAGAGGCCGAGACCCGCAAGUUGGACGAGUCCCUGACUCAAAGUUUGACGUCCCCAGGGCCAGUCCUGCUCCACCGUAGCCCCAGCCCCAGCGCUAUCCAAACCACCCCCAGGUAGCAGCCCCAGCCAGGGCAGGAUACAGGCCAGCACGGUGCACACGGACAACACAGACAACUGCAGGGGAGUCCUGGUCCCUCUGCAUGGCUGCAGGUUUGCCAAAAGAAUGGUCUGGCUCUGUUAACCACCUGGACGCCCCAGAUCAGCCACAUUCCCAGGAGGAGAAGGAAACCAGCAAGCUUGGGGAGCACUCCAGCCCGCGUAGGAAUGAAGCAAAGUUUGUUCUCCUGCCAGGCCACGGAGUCACCCAGAAGAGUGCCUUGCCCUGGUCGAGGGGCUUACUGCCUCUCGUCUAGAGUUUAUUUUCCCAGCACUUGCCCUCCCUCACCUUCCCCGUCAACAAUAAACCUGGGGUCUUUGUGUUAAUUCGCUACUGCAGUGUCCACUUGUGUGGCUGGGUGGCAGCAGCACAUCAGCAUUGUAAGGUAACACUUGCUGAAGAUCCCUCUUGGGUGACAGGGGUCUACUGUGAGCCGUGCACUCUGAUUGGGGACGGUUGCAGAAGACACACAAGACGAGAUGGCCCCUGUCCCCAGCGCCUGCCUUCAGUCCAGCUGAUCUCUACAGGUCAUGAACUAGGCUGGACGCCAAUCAAGGAGAGACCUUCCAGCACAUGAAAGACAUUUUGAAGGCUGCCAAGCAGGAUCCUCAUUUAAUCCUAAACCAUCUAUUGCUCAUCUCUCCUCAUCCAACCCUCGAGAGCCCCCCGGCCUCCACUGUAGCCCUCAUCCUAAGGUCUCCCCACCCCACCAGGUAAGAGGUUGGCGAGGCCUUUGUUCAGCAGUGAGGACCAAGCUAUACUCACACAGCAGCUGGGGGCUGACUUUGUGCCCCGGUUUUCUAAAGUAUGCUUUCCUUGGCCAAUAGCAGAGUCAUCUCUGGGGAGGCCAGUAAUGUACCAGUUGCUGUUUUCAUCAGCUCCAAACCUAAGGAGAGACCGGAGGGGAAGAGCAGGAAGGAAAGUGUGGGUCACCCAGGCAGGACCCAACCUCGCCUAAGGACACAAGUCCAGAGCUUCUGUCCCUUCAUCUUGUCACCUACCACAAGGCUGCCCCAAGCAGUGGAUCAGCCCUUGGGCAGUGCCUCUGGGUGUCCAGCCUGUUCUCAGGAUGUGCUCUGGGAGGGUGUGAACCAUCACUGGAACCUGGGGUGGAAAGAUGGGCAAGGUCACCCCGGCCCCUUCUAGUCGUCUUGUGUGCUUAGAUAGAGGUUGCUAUGGGCCAAACCGCUCUGAAAGCAGCAAGGGUCAAGCAUGGAGUCAGAGCCUGGGCCGGUCGUCUUGUUCCCAGGGAGCGCCUGGUACUGAGAGUCCUGCUUCUGUUCUCAUAGCGAGCCUGGAUGCUUUGUGAACCGCAUCACAACCCACAUGGGGCUGCCAGGGUGGUGAGGGCAGGGAAGCCAUGGGCGGGAGAGCCCAGCAGAGGAGGAGGAGCUGGUGGUAGAAGUCAGCGUGAGGAGUGAGCGGAGUGUGGUUGCAGACUGCACAGGUCGCGGUCGGCACUUACACCAGGAAGCCGGGGCUGUCUGCUGGAGGACGGAGCUCCCCCCAGUCCUGCCGGGUGAAACCGCUGCAGUCCACAGCAGCCCUGGAGGUUUCAGUGACACCAGCAGCCUGUUUUCCUUAGCCCAGUCAGGAGCAUUAUGGGUACAUUAGGUACAGGGAGGUUCUGUCACCAGCAUCAUGAAGCCCAGAAGUGGGGGCUGGUGUGUUCUGUAGAGACAGGAAAGCUAAUCCUAUGUCAUCGCUGCACCUCCCAUCACGGCUUCCUGUUUAAAUCUUUCCAGUGCCUGUGAAUAUUCCAGCCCCGGGGUCAGAUCUCAGAGUCUGAGGGCUCCUUGCUGGCAAGAGUAGCCCCCACCCCCACAUCCCACCCUUGCAUUGUGGUUUGGGGAUUCAUGCCACAGCUUUGGAUAGAACUCUUCCCCGUGUCAGUGGCCUCCUGUUAAGUUUGGCCAAUUCCAGUAUUUGACGAGGGCUGGUAGAUGAGAUGUGCUGGCAUUGCAUUCUCUUGGCAAAUGCUCAUCAAGCCUGUGCCAGAAGCCCCCGCUAUGAACACCAAGGAAGAGGAGGAGGAGCUUGUCUCCAGGGAGACAGGGCCCAGAUAAAUGCUUGCAGAAUGACCCAGAGGCCCAGAAGAGACUGGCCACUCCCAGUGAGACCAGGGCAAGCGUCCCAGAGAGAGGAAGGGAGGCCUUGGGGGCCCUUUCAGGGUGGUUAUCAAGCCCCUUGGAUGCAGCAGGUAUAAGGAGUCAGGGUCCCAAGUCCAGCAGCAGCAGCAGGCCCUCAAGGCGUCAGCUCGCCCACUCCAGUUCGACCUUUCAGGCCACAAAGCAGGAACAUCAGCCACGGCCCACAAGCCACAAUGCCCUGUGAAGGCUCCAUUCUCACCGCGGGAUGAGGCACAUGGCCAGGGGCAGGCUGAGUCAGACACCAAGCACUGGGCAAAGCAGGGAGCUCUGGAUGCAAGACUCCACCAGCAUCCCACUGCCGUGUUGGCUUCCGUGCCUUCCUCUGCCUUCACGUCACACCUUCGAUGGCUGCCCCUUGCCUCCCUAUCCACCUGUUACAUCCCAGAGGUGUUCGCUAAAGGCCACUUUGAGAACAAGAGGAGAGGCGGCAGGCCAGCAUUGUGGCAUAGCAGGUUAAGACAUUGCCUGUGAUGCCUUGAGCCCAGCCCCCCAUGUGGGAAUCCCAGGAGGAAUUCCUGGCUCCUGGCUUUGGUCUAGCCCACCCCUGACUGUUGUGGUCAUUUGGGGAGUGAACCAGUGAGUUGAAGAUCUCUUUCUCCCUCUCUCAC